CCCCGCCGCCAGCCCCGCCCUCCUCUGGGCUCCCCGCCCACCGCCGCCCGCAAGCCCGCCCACACGCCUGGCCUCCAGGCUCGCCGAAGGCAGCUGGGGCGCAAAGCUGGUGCGCGGGACCUGGGGCACCCAAAGGCCGGGCCUUCCGAAGGGUGCUCGCGCGUCACUGCGCGUGCGUGAGCGCGCGGGGGUGGUGUGUUUGUGGCCUGGGGCGGCCGGCGUGUGCGCACGCGCGCCUGGUGGGGGCGGUGUUUUCUCUUUCAGCCCGCGGUUACCCGGGGGGAUGCCGGGAGUGAGGCCUUCCAGCGUCCACGCGGUCGGAACCAGAAGGGACUCCAGAUUCCACAUAUAAGCGAUCCUGGGCAUAUAUCUGGAGAAAACUAUAAUACAAAAAGAUACAUGCACCCCGAUGUUCACUGCAGCACUAUUUACAAUAGCCAAGACAUGGAAGCAACCUAAAAGCCCAUCAACAGAUGAAUGCAUAAAGAAGAUGUGGUACAUAUAUACAGUGGAAUAUUACUCAGCCAUAAAAAAGAACAAAAUAAUGCCAUUUGCAGCAACAUGGAUGGACCUAGAGAGUCUCAUACUGAAGGAAAAGAAGAGAGGAAAAGAGAGAGUUUGGGGGACAAAGAAUGACCAAGGCACAAGGUGACCUUUGGUCCCUGAAAGCUUCUCCUGCUAUGAGCUGUGCUGAGGCUGCUCGUAGAAAAUGUGUUUUUCCUGCACCAUGGAGCCAGUUCUCAACCAAAGAGGCAGUGAUCUGCUUCCGCGCUAGGGGGAAGAGUUGGCCGGUUGCGCUGACCGCUGACCAAGAGACUGUGGGCUUGUCUCCCAAUGGCAUCUUCCUAAGGAAAUGUGUUAAAACCAUGCCUCUCCCUUUGUUAUCCUUUUAAAUAGUUAACGCGUACAAAAUUAUAGCUGAAACCCUACGUAGGUUAUUAACCAACAACACCGCUGUGCUUUCCUCCACUAAUUUACCUUCUAUCCCCUGGCAGGAGAAGUCAUUGUACUGGAUUACAGGUUUAUUAUUUCCAUGCUUUAAAAAUUCUUUCAUUACAUAUGAUUGUAUGUUUAAUUAAACAGUACACUGCUUAGUUUUGUUGGUUUUUGAGAUUAAAGAU